rnacentral:rRNA from 1 species
UACGUAGGGGGCGAGCGUUGUCCGGAAUUAUUGGGCGUAAAGAGCGUGUAGGCUGUUCGGUAAGUCUGCCGUGAAAACCUGAGGCUCAACCUCGGGCGUGCGGUGGAUACUGCCGGGCUAGAGGACGGUAGAGGCGAGUGGAAUUCCUGGUGUAGAGGUGAAAUUCGUAGAUAUCGGGAGGAACACCAGUGGCGAAGGCGGCGACCUGGGCCAAUAUUGACGCUGAGGUGCGAAAGCGUGGGGAGCAAACAGG